rnacentral:lncRNA from 1 species
GAAAAUUCAGAUCAGAUAACGAAACUGGGUCCAGCAACAUUUAUAAGCAAUUUAAGAUUUUUACCCUCACAGUUUCCAUUCACCACAAAUAUUCUCGUUACAACGAAUCAUUUUAAAUACAAAAAUACCAGUUGCAGCCUUUUGUUUAUCUAUUAAUAUAUGUAUACGGAUAAAGUUAUGAAAGGCAGCAGGAUCACCAGGGUGAGGAGUCCAUGUCAUCUGAAACAAAUGCUAAGCAUAGAUCUAGAAAGCGACAGAUAAUCAUGACAUUAAAAAAACUCUCUUCUUUUCGACUUUUUUCGAACAAAUUGACACAUAAAAU